rnacentral:rRNA from 1 species
GACGAACCGAGCGAACGUUGUUCGGAAUCACUGGGCUUAAAGGCGCGUAGGCGGGCUGUCAAGUCUGGGGUGAAAUCCCGCGGCUCAACCGUGGAACUGCCUCAGAUACUGACGGUCUCGAGGGGGAUAGGGGCGAGCGGAACUGUGAGUGGAGCGGUGAAAUGCGUUGAUAUUCACAGGAACUCCGGUGGCGAAGGCGGCUCGCUGGAUCUCUUCUGACGCUGAGGCGCGAAAGCUAGGGGAGCGAACAGG